rnacentral:lncRNA from 10 species
CUGUCUGAGGUCCCAUGGGUAGUUAUCUUCAUCCCACCGUUUGGAAUCCCGGAAAUGUGUGAACCCAGGCAGUCGGCUGCAAUGAGUGAACACAGUUACCACUUAGGAGAGAGAAAAAGAGGCCCAUCAGAUGCCUCAACUCUCUCCUGACUGCUAGCUGAAAGGGUUAGGAAGUGCAGGAAUGGGCCGUCUUGAUUUUGUCUCCUUUCAGAAAUCUAGACAGCUUGCCUAGAAGCCUUGCCAUGCCCCCUCCACUGGCCACCCCCUCACCUCAUCAUUAUUUUCUACUUAAUGUUAUGUCCCCUUGGGGACAGGGAUAUUUGAGGGGAGUAGAGAUCCUCACAGGUGCUCAGGUCCACAUUCCAUGACUUAGCAAGCAGAGCGUACACACCUGACUCUAAGCCACCCUGUACCCAUACCCAGGCUCCCACUAUGGGGGAAGCACUGCAGCGACUGCAAGUUAGAGGCCAGGGAGCAGAGAACACAUCCUUGGGAUACGUCCAAGGGAGGCCUGGGUGUCAGCUGGACCUGCAAGCCCCCUGGCUUAUGCUCCUUGUCCUGCCAGAUUUCGCUACACAACACCAAUUCAAAG